GUCCACAGGCAGCCACAGUGCCUCAACUACAAGGACCAAAGCGCCAAAGACCAGCCGCCACAGAGCCUCAGCAGCUUGAUGGAGAUGCUUGCAGGGAGGCAAUUUAUUUUGUUGUUCACUCUCCUGAUGAAGCAAGGGUGUUUGAGAAGAUGAAGUUGGCCUUACAUCGCCAAGACCUAGUGCAUGACGCAGAGAUCUGCCGACGUCUUCAAAACAUUUCCCAGUUUUUUAGAUGUCAAAGGACUAGUGAGUUGUGAAUUUUAUUUAAAAUCCAGUCUUCAAACUCUUGUCUUUAAUUUGGUUGGUUUCCAGUAGUUAACUAUGCUCUGACCAUUAGAGUAAUGUAUUCACAUGUGUAUGAUCAAAAGCUGAAUCAAGACUUACUGCUGCUGUUUGGUGGUGAAACAGCAUCCAAGAUGUUUGAAAAAUGGGACACGGCAUUAAAGAACAAGGUUAUCAAAGAGGCCAAACAACUGACUCAGUCAAAAGAGCUGUGCCGACUUCUGAAUGCUGCUGAGAAACCUACGGAGAAUGAUGACACUAUUAAGUGUGCAGUGUUGGUUUUCAUUCCAAAUAGCUAGUGCUCUUUACUUUGUGCCUUCCAAGUAGAUACUGAUGACUUGUUUUGUGUUGCAUCUCCCCCCUGAUAGGCUGGGACAGUGACAUGGCUUCUCUGCUGCUGCUCCUUCAUCUCUUGCCACCCACAGCUGGACGGAAGAAGAGCAAAAUCAGUGCCAGUGAUGCAGUGGAAAAAAUGGUUCAUUUUCACAAGUCGUGCUGCAGUAUUGAUGAACACCUGCGUGGGAGAAAGGGUCAACAACCGUACAUCCUUGCUGCUGGUCGCACCCAGAACAAGAUUGACACCUUCUUAUCGUCGUUGACAAACAGUUCAUCCCCUGCCAUGCCACCAGCUUCUAAGGUGCUUUUGAUGAACUUUUCAAAUCACACUACGUGUUCAACCUGUCAUACGAGGAGUCCCUGGUCCAGCUCUACACAUUUGUGCAGACAACAGUACUCUACAACAUCGAUGUCACAACAACAGACGAGUCUCUUGAAGAAUCCGUGAGUUGCGGGCAAAACUCCUGAACUAGGAUUAAAACAUGUAUAAGUGUUUCAUAUGUGAAGCUGUACACCAGACUGUCCAGUCCUUGGUAACCCAUUUAAGAAUUGAUCACAGUUUCUAUCCUAGCAGCAGGUUUAAGUUGGUUUGUGCACAAGAUCGUUGUAGGCGUCAGUUUUUGUCAUAUUCUAGUUUAAAAAAACAUUUAAUGAGAGUUCAUGAGGAGAGUUUUGUCAAAGUGGUGUUGCAGCAAACCCGGAGUCCUUUCAACCUAUCUAUCAGUGUCCAAAGUACUUCAGAAGUUGGUGAAACAGGUGUCCCACAGAGCUUAAAGGCUGGUUGUUUUGAGGACAAUGUAUCUGGUGUUAACAAAGAACAUACUAAAAAUAUCUGUGCUUCAAUUGUUGCUAAACUUCAAGAAAGUGGUAUGGCAAAUAGUCUUGUUUCAACAAUUGUUAGUGAUUUGGAAGAACUUGCUACUGGACUGCACUCCCAAGUUAAGCAAGAAAUACUAUCUGCUGUGCCUAAAGACAAUCAUAUCCGAUCUACAUUAGAAGGUCUUGAUACUUUUGAAAAUCCAUUUGUAAGAUUUAAUACUGAAAGUAAAAGAAUAAGAUAUUUCAACGAAAAAUGGGGUGUUGUUGAGCCUGUAGAAAUAAUGUUAGGACAUUGAUUCGAUACAAGGCGAAAUAAACAAACCGUUUACUUAUGAUCAAGUUCAAGUAAAAUAAACUUUUUUUUACGUUCCAAUUUUGGAAACGAUCCAAUUCAUGUGCCGCAAUUCUGAUAUGUGUAAAUUGCUUGGGAAAAACGUUUGUAUCGAAAACGGACAAAUUUGAAGACUAUUGUGAUGGUAGUUAUUUUAAGACGCAUGCAUUGUUCUCUAAACAACGGACUUCUUUACAAAUUCAGAUGUACUAUGAUGACUUUGAAACUGCUAACCCACCGGGUUCAAAACGCGGUAUUCACAAAA